CCCAGUAAACGGCGGCCGUAACUAUAACGGUCCUAAGGUAGCGAAAUUCCUUGUCGGGUAAGUUCCGACCCGCACGAAAGGCGCAACGAUCUGGGCACUGUCUCAACGAGAGACUCGGUGAAAUUAUAGUACCUGUGAAGAUGCAGGUUACCCGCGACAGGACGGAAAGACCCCGUGGAGCUUUACUGCAACCUGAUAUGGAAUGUUUGUACCGCUUGUACAGGAUAGGUAGGAGCCGAAGAGACGUGUGCGCUAGCAUACGAGGAGGCAAUGGUGGGAUACUACCCUGGCUGUAUGACCAUUCUAACCCGCCACGCUUAGCGCGUGGGGAGACAGUGUCAGGUGGGCAGUUUGACUGGGGCGGUCGCCUCCUAAAGAGUAACGGAGGCGCCCAAAGGUUCCCUCAGAAUGGAUGGAAAUCAUUCGCAGAGUGUAAAGGCACAAGGGAGCUUGACUGCGAGACUGACAAGUCGAGCAGGGACGAAAGUCGGGCUUAGUGAUCCGGUGGUUCCGCAUGGAAGGGCCAUCGCUCAACGGAUAAAAGCUACCCCGGGGAUAACAGGCUUAUCUCCCCCAAGAGUCCACAUCGACGGGGAGGUUUGGCACCUCGAUGUCGGCUCGUCGCAUCCUGGGGCUGUAGUCGGUCCCAAGGGUUGGGCUGUUCGCCCAUUAAAGCGGCACGCGAGCUGGGUUCAGAACGUCGUGAGACAGUUCGGUCCCUAUCCGUCGCGGGCGCAGGAAAUUUGAGAGGAGCUGUCCUUAGUACGAGAGGACCGGGAUGGACACACCGCUGGUGUACCAGUUGUUCCGCCAGGAGCAUCGCUGGGUAGCUAUGUGUGGCAGGGAUAAACGCUGAAAGCAUCUAAGCGUGAAGCCCCCCUCAAGAUGAGAUUUCCCAUUUCUUCGGAAAGUAAGAUCCCUGAAAGAUGAUCAGGUAGAUAGGUUUGGAGUGGAAGUGUAGCGAUACAUGGAGCGGACAAAUACUAAUCGAUCGAGGACUUAACCAA
rnacentral:rRNA from 1 species